AGUGAACGCUGGCGGUAGGCCUAACACAUGCAAGUCGAACGGCAGCACAGUAAGAGCUUGCUCUUACGGGUGGCGAGUGGCGGACGGGUGAGGAAUACAUCGGAAUCUACUUUUUCGUGGGGGAUAACGUAGGGAAACUUACGCUAAUACCGCAUACGACCUACGGGUGAAAGCAGGGGAUCUUCGGACCUUGCGCGAUUGAAUGAGCCGAUGUCGGAUUAGCUAGUUGGCGGGGUAAAGGCCCACCAAGGCGACGAUCCGUAGCUGGUCUGAGAGGAUGAGCAGCCACCCUGGAACUGAGACACGGUCCAGACUCCUACGGGAGGCAGCAGUGGGGAAUAUUGGACAAUGGGCGCAAGCCUGAUCCAGCCAUACCGCGUGGGUGAAGAAGGCCUUCGGGUUGUAAAGCCCUUUUGUUGGGAAAGAAAAGCAGCAGGUUAAUACCCCGCUGUUCUGACGUUACCCAAAGAAUAAGCACCGGCUAACUUCGUG
rnacentral:rRNA from 1 species